AAUGGGCGAAAGCCUGAUGCAGCAACGCCGCGUGAGGGACGACGGCCUUUCGGGUUGUAAACCUCUUUUAGCAGGGAAGAAGCGAAAGUGACGGUACCUGCAGAAAAAGCGCCGGCUAACUACGUGCCAGCAGCCGCGGUAAUACGUAGGGCGCAAGCGUUAUCCGGAAUUAUUGGGCGUAAAGAGCUCGUAGGCGGUUUGUCGCGUCUGCUGUGAAACCCCGAGGCUCAACCUCGGGCCUGCAGUGGGUACGGGCAGACUAGAGUGCGGUAGAGGAGAUUGGAAUUCCUGGUGUAGCGGUGGAAUGCGCAGAUAUCAGGAGGAACACCGAUGGCGAAGGCAGAUCUCUGGGCCGUAACUGACGCUGAGGAGCGAAAGGGUGGGGAGCAAACAGGCUUAGAUACCCUGGUAGUCCACCCCGUAAACGUUGGGAACUAGUUGUGGGGUCCAUUCCACGGAUUCCGUGACGCAGCUAACGCAUUAAGUUCCCCGCCUGGGGAGUACGGCCGCAAGGCUAAAACUCAAAGGAAUUGACGGGGACCCGCACAAGCGGCGGAGCAUGCGGAUUAAUUCGAUGCAACGCGAAGAACCUUACCAAGGCUUGACAUAUACGAGAACGGGCCAGAAAUGGUCAACUCUUUGGACACUCGUAAACAGGUGGUGCAUGGUUGUCGUCAGCUCGUGUCGUGAGAUGUUGGGUUAAGUCCCGCAACGAGCGCAACCCUCGUUCUAUGUUGCCAGCACGUCAUGGUGGGAACUCAUGGAAUACUGCCGGGGUCAACUCGGAGGAAGGUGAGGAUGACGUCAAAUCAUCAUGCCCCUUAUGUCUUGGGCUUCACGCAUGCUACAAUGGCCGGUACAAUGGGCUGCAAUACCGCAAGGUGGAGCGAAUCCCAAAAAGCCGGUCCCAGUUCGGAUUGAGGUCUGCAACUCGACCUCAUGAAGUCGGAGUCGCUAGUAAUCGCAGAUCAGCAACGCUGCGGUGAAUACGUUCCCGGGUCUUGUACACACCGCCCGUCAAGUCAUGAAAGUCGGUAACACCUGAAGCCGGUGGCCCAACCC
rnacentral:rRNA from 1 species